rnacentral:rRNA from 1 species
AACGUAGGUCACAAGCGUUGUCCGGAAUUACUGGGUGUAAAGGGAGCGCAGGCGGGAAGACAAGUUGGAAGUGAAAUCUAUGGGCUCAACCCAUAAACUGCUUUCAAAACUGUUUUUCUUGAGUAGUGCAGAGGUAGGCGGAAUUCCCGGUGUAGCGGUGGAAUGCGUAGAUAUCGGGAGGAAUACCAGUGGCGAAGGCGGCCUACUGGGCACCAACUGACGCUGAGGCUCGAAAGUGUGGGUAGCAAACAGG